GAUGAACGCUGGCGGCGUGCCUAAUACAUGCAAGUCGAACGAGUGGCGGACGGGUGAGUAAUGUCUGGGAAACUGCCCGAUGGAGGGGGCUAACUACUGGAAACGGUAGCUAAUACCGCAUCCCAUCGGAUGUGCCCAGAUGGGAUUAGCUUGUGGGUGAGGUAACGUCUCACAUAGGCGACGAUCCCUAGCGGGUCUGAGAGGAUGACCAGCCACACUGGAACUGAGACACGGUCCAGACUCCUACGUGAGGCAGCAUUGGGGAAUAUUGCACAAUGGGCGCAAGCCUGAUGAAGCCAGGCCGCGUGUAUGAAGAAGGCCUUCGGGUUGUAAAGUACUUUCAGCGGGGAGGCGUUACCCGCAGAAGAAGCACCGGCUAACUCCGUGCCAGCAGCCGCGGUAAUAC
rnacentral:rRNA from 1 species